GCAAACUGCACGAGCUCGAGUGGAUGGAAAAGAGUUCUUCCGACAAGUUAGGAGUCGGCUAUCGUAUGAGCAGUUUGGUGGUUUUCUAGCAAAUGUUAAGGAACUGAACUCGCACAAGCAAACGAAAGAGGAAACUUUGCGGAAAGCAGCUGAAAUUUUUGGUGAAGAAAACAAAGACCUUUAUACCAUCUUUGAAGGACUGAUCUCUCGUAAUGCCUAAUAAAAUGUCCAAAGCCUGAAUAUUGCAUGUAUUUUUUUACUGUAAAUUGACUCAAU
rnacentral:misc_RNA from 1 species